GAUGAACGCUGGCGGCGUGCCUAAUACAUGCAAGUCGAGCGAACAGACGAGGAGCUUGCUCCUCUGACGUUAGCGGCGGACGGGUGAGUAACACGUGGAUAACCUACCUAUAAGACUGAGAUAACUUCGGGAAACCGGAGCUAAUACCGGGUAAUAUAUUGAACCGCAUGGUUCAAUAGUGAAAGACGGUUUUGCUGUCACUUAUAGAUGGAUCCGCGCCGCAUUAGCUAGUUGGUAAGGUAACGGCUUACCAAGGCAACGAUGCGUAGCCGACCUGAGAGGGUGAUCGGCCACACUGGAACUGAGACACGGUCCAGACUCCUACGGGAGGCAGCAGUAGGGAAUCUUCCGCAAUGGGCGAAAGCUUGACGGAGCAACGCCGCGUGAGUGAUGAAGGUCUUCGGAUCGUAAAACUCUGUUAUUAGGGAAGAACAAAUGUGUAAGUAACUAUGCACGUCUUGACGGUACCUAAUCAGAAAGCCACGGCUAACUACGUG
rnacentral:rRNA from 1 species